rnacentral:rRNA from 1 species
AAACGACUCUCGGCAACGGAUAUCUCGGCUCUCGCAUCGAUGAAGAACGUAGCGAAAUGCGAUACUUGGUGUGAAUUGCAGAAUCCCGUGAACCAUCGAGUCUUUGAACGCAAGUUGCGCCCUAAGCCAUUCGGCCGAGGGCACGUCUGCCUGGGCGUCAAUCA